UACGUAGGUGGCAAGCGUUAUCCGGAAUUAUUGGGCGUAAAGAGCGCGCAGGUGGUUGAUUAAGUCUGAUGUGAAAGCCCACGGCUUAACCGUGGAGGGUCAUUGGAAACUGGUCGACUUGAGUGCAGAAGAGGGAAGUGGAAUCCCAUGUGUAGCGGUGAAAUGCGUAGAGAUAUGGAGGAACACCAGUGGCGAAGGCGGCUUCCUGGUCUGUAACUGACACUGAGGCGCGAAAGCGUGGGGAGCAAACAGGAUUAGUACCCUGGUA
rnacentral:rRNA from 1 species